ACCUGCCCCAGAGUCACUGCCCCAAAGUUGUGCUCCCUCUGAUUUUUAUCUCGUCUAUUAUGUCGGCCAGGGAGUGGUGUUUCCUUUUGCUGUUUCAGAUAGGAAUUCCGUAUCCACGAAUGCUAGUAUUUCUAGUUGCUCAAGUACCUUUUAUAUUCCACUCUUAUGAUCUUUUUCUUGGAUAAACAUGUGGAUUUCACUAAUACAUUUCAUUUCUAGAUUAGCAAUGAUAUUUUAAGUGCUACUACACCCAACAUCAAUCCUUGGCACAGGCUGAUGGAUGCAACUUGUAUUUUUUUCUCUUCCAAUUGCCUUUCUGAUGGCCUUCUAGGAAUGGAAAAGUGCUUCUGUGCCUAAGAGCACGUUCAGUUUUCCAACAGCAUCUUCUGCAAUAUGGAUGGGAACUGCCAUCGUGUUGUUGUGAAGUAACUACUGAGCUCUGAAGAGAGCGCCUGAGGCUGUGCUGCUCUUCUCAGAAGAAAAAAGGAUAAACAGAAUCAUUCUUCUAGAAGAAGAUGUAAUUUGAAAGAUACCAGGAACACUGGGCCCUAUUCUGCCUAGGCUGUAGCAGGAUGAAGUUUCAUUACAUAAGGAUACGUUUCAAGUGCAAUAUAACAGUCUGAAGAAAUAAAUGUGGGUCCUAAAACCCGAUGAAGUUAACAGUGGACGUCUGAAUUUCCACUCUUACCAAGAGAUGUUCCUUUGCGGCAAACGACUUGGGUUUUGGCAAGGGAUUUGUUUAUUGCAGUGGGGACUUGCACAAUGAGGCUCCAUCCCGGCUGAUGCAGCCAGGGACAUUCCUGGACACUACACCGGUUCCCGCGUGCUGUUGAAUGCUUAACACAUUGCACAACCCUCGCUCUGCCAAUUAGCACUCUCCCGAGCCCUUCCCAGGCACCGCUCAUGAGGUCAGCGUGGCCUCUUCCCAGCAGGUGCUUUGGCAAGAGACCCUCAGUACGGGAAGGUUGCAACGGUGUGGCUGCAGACUCUUUUCCUGCCUGCUGGGCUUUCCGCGGAGCGCCGCGGGCCGUGCCAUGCGCUGCUGUGCUUGAGGCUCGCUGGUGGCAGAGCUGGGACAUGAGGCACAGGGUUUGAGCUGAGAGGGGAAUCAGCUCCCGCUUUUGCGGUGACACAGCUGCUUUGAGAAGUCUCAGUCAGAACGUAAGGACUGCCGGUGAAUUCUGUUGCUUGGACCAUCAGCUGAAUAUGUCCACAGCAGGCUCAGUGUCUCUCAAACAUCUGAGGCCUCCUGAACCUGUUCAGCUCCGGAUAAAUAGGGAACUAAAGCUGCUAUUAUGUGUGCUGUGUGAGAGGCAAGGUGGCACGCUCUGCAUACAUGGAUUGUUUUUUACAUAUAAUACAGUAAAAAUGAUGUAUCCCCCUCUUCACAGUCCUUACUAUGUAUGUGCUAUGCACCAGUUUUCUCAUAUUUCUCCUCAAACAGCCUUAUGAAUGCUCAUAAAAUAUUAAUUCCUCAGAACUUGUUUGCAUUACACCUUGCCAUAGGUUUUUAUUUCUUUAGUCUCGCAUCUUUAACUUUGAAGAAUUUGUGUUUUCAUCAUUGUCCAUUUAAUGGUUGUACAAUGUGCACAGUUAAGAUCUCCAAACUAAUCACUUGCUAGGAAAGUGUUCUCAGUCAAUUAGGUGGAUUUUUUUUAAAAAAAAAAUUUAUUUGUUUCCUACAUUUAUUCAGGACCUGUACAUUUAUUUGCACAUUUAUAUUUAUUUUUAUAUGAAAAUCAAGUGUCAUAGUAAAUUAAAGGGAAUGGGUGGCAAAAUUUUCUUUGCCAACUACCUGCCUUGAAAUGACAUUUGAAAAACACAUAUACUGAUAUUUAUAAAAUAGCUGAGCUUGUCGGUAUAUCAAGAGCAAGGACUCUCUCAUACUUUAAGCCCCAGCAUAAGAAGUAGGGGGAAAGGUCUAUGAAAUUUCUUUCUAAUAAGAAAAGUAUUUGUGGUAACAGACUUGGUGAUACUAUUUUUGUAUGCUUGAUAUAACCAGUCGUUGCUGGGCUUUUUAGCUGUGAAAAAUACAAACAUUCUAGACAUCCAGGAAAUACCUCUGUACUUUUUCAUCCCAGUAUGUAAUCCCUGUCAUUGCCAAAUCUGCUGAGUUUUCUGUAAACAAAUCCAGGUGACACAGGCACUGAUGUGCAUCAUAGCAGUGAAGGAAGAGUCAGAAAAAGAGGAAAAAAGGUCUGCACUUGCUGUCACUGAAGUAAUGACACAAUUCUUACCUUGGGCCAAAGGCAGGGUUUGGGAAGAAGGUUGAUUUGUCAGAGCUUAUCGUGAGCAGGCAGGACUUGGGGGGCAUUGAGUGCAGAGUUUGCUUGGUUGUUUUCCCUAAAUUACUGUACUUACCAAGUCCCUUGAGAGUAGUGUCACUUCUUUUGUCUUGGCACACUUGUUCUUAAAUGACGUGCAAAGAUUUCAGAAAGUAAAAGAAGAACAUGUAAACACAAAUAGAAAACAUCACUCACUGUCAUAUUUUCCAAGAUACUUUAUUUAGCUCAUGUUUACAGAUGAAACAGAAAAGAGACACUGCAUCCCACAGUAUUAGUUAUACUCCAGCUUGCAAGGAAAAUUUUUGUCAGUAACCUUUAGUAAUAUUUGGACCAAAAAUACACAGUUGUGCAGCUGUCAGCAUUUGUGCCAUGUAGAAUGCAGCCUCUCUCACAGGUCCUCUGUUUCUGGAACAGCGUUGGAUUCCGCAGGCUGAAUGAACACUACAGGGAUAUUCUCAGACGUCCAUCCUUUGGGAGUCCUGUUGAAGGAUCUUCUGGCAGCAAGAGGGUUUGCAAGGAUCAUGAAUCUGGGAUCGUUUAGCAUCAGCAUAUUAUAAUCUGGUACCUUGAAUUUAACCAGCUUUGAUGCUCUCUCAAAACCACCAAAGGGAGUGGCAACCCUGUAGAUAUCAGAGAAAUAAAAGUUAAUGUGAUUUUAAAAAUGCUUCUUUUCUUUUCCUCCCAGAAGCUAAAAAGAACAGAUUUUUGUUCCAAAUUCUUGUUUACAUUUUCAGGCUUUGGAGAAAAGCAUUCUGUUUGUUUUUGGGGGGAAAUUCUCUUUCAGAUCUGAUUAAUUUCCCCUUAGAUAAAGCUCGAAGCCUUUUUAAAAUUCAAAUGGAUGGAAAAGCCAGAGAGAAAAAGACGUUGCAAGAAAACCCUGUAACUGGUGAGUCACAGUUACUAAACUUACUUUGUUGGUGAUAAGUUGAUAAGUCUGAAACUGUAGCUCAACACAUUCUCUCUAGAAAGUAAUUAGUUCAGAAACUUCUCACCCCAUUUUCUCCUCUCCUCAGCUGCUUGUUCCUCCCACUGCGCUGUAUUUCAGCACCAUAUUGUCGUACCAGUUAGAAUGUAUGUGGGUUGUGCUAUAAACUUGGGUCACUUCUGUGAUCUGGGUUAAACAAAGACCCUUCAAAACAAAGGAGCGCUUCAAAAUCAAAAUUAUUUCAGCAAUCUGGUUUAUAUCAGUAUGCUCGAACAAUUUUAGUGAUACAAGUAAAGAGGAGUGGAGCUUAAUGACUGAAGCAGAAAGGAACAGCCAAAGACAACAGGGUCUGGAAAGGAGGGAAUGGGUGAGGACUUGAUACACCAGCUUUGUUUCUGAAGAAAAUGUUUAUGUAACUAAACCUUGAAACACUGUUCAGCCAGUAUUUUUCAUGUUAUUUAAAUGUAAAUUUUCCCUCAGGCAGUAAGCCUGAGAAACUGAAAGAUAAGGAAUACUAAACUGGAGCUGACUGUUACAUGCAUUUGCAAAUACUUUAAAACAACAGUAUUUCCAAAUACCUCCCCUGAUCUUCUGUAUAUACAGGUUUCAGACUGAAAAAAACCCCUUGAGUUUUCCUGUCACUUCUUCCAGCCUCCUUUGUAUAAACAAACAGACUAUGGUAUGUGCUCUGCAUUUUGAUCAGCUGCAUAACUAACUUUGCUGGGAUAUAUUCUCGCCAGUGAGGAGUGUCAGAUUUUUGAACUGCACAAAGCACAUGAUUUCUGCAAAGCCAGACAUAUAAUGGCAUGGGAAAAUGAUUUUUUGUUGAAACGGAAUUUCACCCGCCUUGGCAUAAUUUGUGCACAGUACAGAAAUAUUUCCAGUGGCCCCAGGUAUUAUAGCAGAAGCCCAGAGAAAUUAAUACCAAGAGAAACUAAAAGAGAUCAUUUGAAGAUCUGUCUAGGAUUUUCAGCAGGAUAAAGCCCCUAGGUUUUGUACUAAGAAUUAAGUACAUAUACACGAAAGGAAGAGAUUAGUUCAGAAAAAAUGCAUCUAUGACAUAAAAGAAAUUAUGCUGUUUUGUCAUUACAUGGAUGAUUCACUGCAUCUUGGUAGAGGCAACAUUUGUUGAAGGGGAUGGUGUUAACUCCAAAGCAUCGAUCCUGGGAGAUAUGAAAAAUCAUGCAAACUCUGGGCAUGCACCCUCACUGAGAGAGGAACACUGCUUAGGAUUAAGCUCUAAAAAUGUGUCUCAAAUGAUGAUAAGACAAGAUGUUGCAGCAACAGCCAGUCCAGGUAUUAAACUCUCUUGAGGUCAAAGGAAAUUGUUUAUCCAAAGUCGGUAUCGAGCCUGUGGUAUCAAAAUUUUCUUGUGGGGCUGUCUUCUAGGUCACAAUGUCAACAUGGAUACCAUAUGAUACUGAUUAAAAAUAAUUGCUUGGUAAUUGGCACAGAGUGAAUGUAGUGAUCUACAUAUCACUGGAUAAUAAAUAUUGUCUUAAUUGCUGCCCUAAUUACAAUACAUAUUCUCAUUGUUGUGAUGUUUAAUUAUCAUUGAUGUGUAUAUUAAAGGGAUAAUAAAAAUAAACAGAAUUAUAGUAGUUGUAUAAAUUGCAAAAGAAUUCUGCUGUCUAAAACAUCUUCCUUGUAGUAUUUAUGGUUUUUAAAUAGAACAUAUUCCUGGAUGUAACAGAAACAGGAGGGCUUUCUUUGGAAACUCAAGUAUCUUUUGUGGCAAAAUACCCCCCUGUAGUUGCUAUACAACGUCUGGCCU